rnacentral:rRNA from 1 species
AGAGUUUGAUCCUGGCUCAGGAUGAACGCUAGCGGCAGGCCUAACACAUGCAAGUCGAGGGAGAGGUUACCUUCGGGUAACCAAAACCGGCGCACGGGUGCGUAACGCGUAUACAAUCUGCCUUUCACAUAGGGAUAGCCCGAAGAAAUUUGGAUUAAUACCUAAUGGUAUAUAAGAGCGGCAUCGUUUUUAUAUUAAAGCUACGGUGGUGAAAGAUGAGUAUGCGUUCUAUUAGCUAGUUGGAGAGGUAACGGCUCCCCAAGGCGACGAUAGAUAGGGGUUCUGAGAGGGAUGUCCCCCACACUGGUACUGAGAUACGGACCAGACUCCUACGGGAGGCAGCAGUGAGGAAUAUUGGACAAUGGUCGGAAGACUGAUCCAGCCAUGCCGCGUGCAGGAUGAAGGUCCUAUGGAUUGUAAACUGCUUUUGUAAGGGAAGAAUAAGGAGUACGUGUACUUUGAUGACGGUACCUUACGAAUAAGCAUCGGCUAACUCCGUGCCAGCAGCCGCGGUAAUACGGAGGAUGCGAGCGUUAUCCGGAAUCAUUGGGUUUAAAGGGUCUGUAGGCGGGCUUGUAAGUCAGAGGUGAAAGCGCUUAGCUCAACUAAGCAACUGCCUUUGAAACUGUUGGUCUUGAAUGGUUGUGAAGUAGUUGGAAUGUGUAGUGUAGCGGUGAAAUGCUUAGAUAUUACACAGAACACCGAUAGCGAAGGCAUAUUACUAACAAUUAAUUGACGCUGAUGGACGAAAGCGUGGGGAGCGAACAGGAUUAGAUACCCUGGUAGUCCACGCUGUAAACGAUGGAUACUAGCUGUUUGGUUGUUAAGACUGAGUGGCUAAGCGAAAGUGAUAAGUAUCCCACCUGGGGAGUACGCACGCAAGUGUGAAACUCAAAGGAAUUGACGGGGGCCCGCACAAGCGGUGGAGCAUGUGGUUUAA